GAUGAACGCUGGCGGCGUGCCUAAUACAUGCAAGUCGAGCGAACGGACGAGAAGCUUGCUUCUCUGAUGUUAGCGGCGGACGGGUGAGUAACACGUGGAUAACCUACCUAUAAGACUGGGAUAACUUCGGGAAACCGGAGCUAAUACCGGAUAAUAUUUUGAACCGCAUGGUUCAAAAGUGAAAGACGGUCUUGCUGUCACUUAUAGAUGGAUCCGCGCUGCAUUAGCUAGUUGGUAAGGUAACGGCUUACCAAGGCAACGAUGCAUAGCCGACCUGAGAGGGUGAUCGGCCACACUGGAACUGAGACACGGUCCAGACUCCUACGGGAGGCAGCAGUAGGGAAUCUUCCGCAAAGGGCGAAAGCCUGACGGAGCAACGCCGCGGGAGUGAUGAAGGUCUUCGGAUCGAAAAACUCUGUUAUUAGGGAAGAACAUAUGUGUAAGUAACUGUGCACAUCUUGACGGUACCUAAUCAGAAAGCCAGGGCUAACUACGUG
rnacentral:rRNA from 1 species